rnacentral:lncRNA from 1 species
CGUGGCCGAUUCGUGUUCACUAGAUUAUUAAACGAAUUGAAUAUGAGCUGACUUAUUAAAAUAUCGAGCUAAAAAAUUCAACUUAUGUUGGGCUUGUUUAUUAACGAGCCGAAUGCAAGCUGACUCGGCUAGAUUAAUUGUCAUCUCUACUACUAGAUGAAAAGUUGAAAAAAAAUUAAAAAAUUAAAAUCUUAAUUUAAUAAUUAAAAUUCACAAAAUAUAUAUAUUUUUAAUAAAUGAGCAAAACAUAAGCUUAAUUUUUCAUCUCAAAAACUUAAUUUGCCGAACGCAAAGUUGCUCGCAAACAGCGAGUUGUAUUGCAAGCCCUUAUAAGAA